AGAGUUUGAUCAUGGCUCAGGAUGAACGCUAGCGGCGCGCUUAACGCAUGCAAGUCGAGCGAUGAGGCUCCCUUCGGGGAGUACAUCAGCGGCAGACGGGUGAGUAACACGUAGAUAACCUGCCCUCAAGACGGGGACAACCGGUGGAAACAGCGGCUAAUACCCGAUAUGCUCACAGGAUCGGGAGGUCGAGUGAGGAAAGGCUUCGGUGCUUGAGGAGGGAUCUGCGGCCCAUCAGCUAGUUGGUGAGGUAACGGCUCACCAAGGCGAAGACGGGUAGGGGGUGUGAGAGCAUGGCCCCCCACAAUGGGACUGAGACACGGCCCAUACUCCUACGGGAGGCAGCAGCGGGGAAUAUUGCGCAAUGGACGGAAGUCAGACGCAGCGACGCCGCGUGGGUGAGGAAGGCCUUCGGGUUGUAAAGCCCUUUUCAGGGGAGCGAGAAAGGACGGUACCCUUGGAAUAAGCGUCGGCUAACUACGUGCCAGCAGCCGCGGUAAGACGUAGGACGCAAGCGUUAUCCGGAUUUACUGGGCGUAAAGCGCCUGUAGGCGGUCAAGUAAGUCGGANGUGAAAGCCCCGUGCUCAACGCGGGGAAGCCAUUCGAUACUGCGUGACUGAGAACGGCG
rnacentral:rRNA from 1 species